GACGAACGCUGGCGGCGGGCUUAACACAUGCAAGUCGAACGGAAAGGCACUGCUUUUGUGGGGUGCUCGAGUGGCGAACGGGUGAGUAACACGUGAGUAACCUGCCCUUGACUUUGGGAUAACUUCAGGAAACUGGGGCUAAUACCGGAUAGGAGCUCCUGCUGCAUGGUGGGGGUUGGAAAGUUUCGGCGGUUGGGGAUGGACUCGCGGCUGAUCAGCUUGUUGGUGGGGGAGUGGCUUACCAAGGCUUGGACGGGUAGCCGGCCUGGGAGGGGGACCGGCGACAUGGGGACUGAGAUACGGCGCAGAGUCGUACGGGAGGCAGCAGUGGGAAACAUGGCACAAUGGGCGGAAGCCUGAGGCAGAAACGCCGGGGGCGGGAUGACGGCCUUCGGGGAGUGAACCGCUUUCGCCUGUGACGAAGCGUGAGUGACGGUAAUGGGUAAAGAAGCACCGGCUAACUACGUG
rnacentral:rRNA from 1 species